rnacentral:lncRNA from 1 species
UAAGAGCAUAUUAAUGUGAUUCAGCCACCGGACCAAUAGACGGAGUAAUUACAAAAGAAAGGUUUUAAAAACAUUCAUGGGCCAGUAAGAUGGUUUGGUGGGUUAAAGUACCACACAACCCUGAUCUGAACUCUAACCCCAGGGUUCAUAGUAAAAGAAGUGACCUGAGAUGUGUGAUAGUGGCACACACCUUUAAUCCCAGCACUUGGAAGGCCAAGGCAGACAGAUCUCUGAGUUUGAGGCCAGCUUGCUCUACAGAGUUCUAGGAAAGCAAGAUCUACACAGAGAAAUCCUGUUUUGAAAAACCAAAAAAGAUGAAGAGGAGACCCGAUUCCAAGCAGUCUUUGACCUCCACCCUCACUGUGGUAUGUAUAGUUGCCCACACAUAUGUACACAAUAAUUUUCAAAAUCAGUAAUCACGAGGGCUUGGGAUAUGAUCUAUUGUUCUCUCUUAGUUUAUUGAUUAAUCUUAACUGAGUGGUUAGAUUGAAGGUCACCUUUUAUGUAAACUCCAUUUCACAAUGAGACCCUAAUAAAGUAUCAAGAAGCAAUGGACAUGAGGAUGAGUGAAAUGACAUUGGGAGUUCCUAGCCUGUAUAUAAGCAUCAUACUGUGGGCAGGACAGCUGAAGUGAACAAACUUUAAGGUUUUGUUUGUUUUAAACUUGCAAUUUUCCUGCCAGUAUUCACUUAUGUUAGCAACUCUUCAAGAGGCUUCCAAGCCUUAGGUUCCGACUGCUUUUGUAUCGUGCCUCUCUUGUGCCGUAUACUUGUUUAGCAAUCUUUUCAGUCUGUAAGUAGCACUGCUGUAUUUUCCAUGCCCUGACUGUGUAAUUCAAUCUAAUAAACCCCUCUUAAUAUGCUGU